rnacentral:rRNA from 1 species
UUUCGCAAUGCCCGAAAGGGUGACGAGGCGACGCCGCGUGUGGGAAGAAGGCCUUCGGGUUGUAAACCACUGUCGGGAGUUAGGAAAUGCAGGUGCGUUAAUAGCGCACUUGCUUGACUAAGGCUCCAGAGGAAGCCACGGCUAACUCUGUGCCAGCAGCCGCGGUAAUACAGAGGCGGCAAGCGUUGUUCGGAAUUAUUGGGCGUAAAGAGCACGUAGGCGGCCUUGCAAGUCAGUUGUGAAAGCCUUCCGCUUAACGGAAGAACGGCAUCUGAUACUACAGGGCUUGAGUACGGGAGGGGAGAGUGGAACUUCUGGUGGAGCGGUGAAAUGCGUAGAUAUCAGAAGGAACGCCGGCGGCGAAAGCGACUCUCUGGUCCGAAACUAACGCUGAGUGUGCGAAAGCUAGGGGAGCAAACGGGAUUAGAUACCCCGGUAGUCCUAGCCGUAAACGAUGGGCACUAAGUAGAGGGGUUUU